UCCCCCAAUCCUUGUUUCUUUAUUUCAUCUUCUCGAGUCUCGCCGCCUCUGAAAACUCACAGAGCGAUCGUCCGGUACUGGUACUACUCUCCGCUCUACUUCCACGAGUUUCGGUGGUUAUGGAGCAUAAACUAGCGAGUGCUGAGAAGAAGGUACGCCGCCUCGAUAGAAUAUUUGUCACCUUUGAUUUCUUGAUUUCCUAGUGGAUCUGGUGAAGCUAGUGCAGAAUCGAUGGUUAGAAGGCGAAAACGGAGGAUGGAAGGAGUUUCUAAACUCUUACGAUAAGGGAUUGGGCUUGAGUGUGGGCGAUCCUUCGCGACGCUCCGACGAUGUAUUGGUCGCUUUUCUUUCCACUUUCAAAAAGAAGGAAGAUUUGCACACAUUCUUAAGAUGGCAGUGAAGCUGUUGUCAGGGUUGCCGCUGUGGACCGUGAUUUAAAGGUGGUUCUUGACAAAUUUGUGAAACCGAGCCUACCCGUUAUUGACUAUAAGACGGAAAUCACUGGAGUUUGCCACAGAAAAUGGUUCAGUUUCAACCGAGUUCUGGAUCAAUAUCUAGACUAUACGUUCGCAAAAAUGUUCAAGAUGGUGGAGUCCCUGUCAAAAA